UCCAGCGGCCGCCCACGCUCGCUCCCGUUUCCCCUCAGUCGGAGAGGGAGAUGGCGAAGGAGAAAGCAUGAAUGAAACAGCCAGGCAGCGAGCGGGAGCGCCCGGCGAGAAGCCGGCCACAGCCCCCGGGAGAGCCGGGAGCCGCCGCCGCAGCGAGGCCCCGGGCUGCGGUGGGUCUCCGCCGGCAGGCCCAGGACAGAUCUCAUGCAGAGAUGGUGGAAUAAAAGAUCCAGAAGCCUAGCUAGAGAUGGCAGAGAGAGCCGAUGAAGUCCAUUGUACACUGAUGGGAGAAACAUUUCCAGCCCAGCUCAGUAGUUCUGCAUCAGCUCAUUCCAGCAUGACUUUGGAUGUCAAAGGUUGAUGGCAACAAGAUGGCUGCUGUCCUGAAACUACAUCUCUGGUUG